rnacentral:lncRNA from 1 species
UUUGAAACAAAUUAAUGAAGGAGUUAAUCCAUGAAGUGGGAAAAAGAAAUAAUGACUUACAUGAUAUUGGUGGUGGUCCAGAAAAUGGUGUAACGAUGAAAGUGUUUGGAAGGGUCAAACCAGAGGUAAUAUCUCUCUUCUCUGCCUCUGUUAGUGCUCCCAUUCCCAUACAUAUUUGUCUGAAACCGCCACGCCUUUCCUCGUAUGUUCCCUAAAAACUCGAAAUCCAGCUCGUCGUGUGUCUUUCCAAACAUAUCUCCAUUUGUUGUCUGUCAUCAUCUUAUCCAUCACAUAAUUAAUUAAUUAAUUAACUUACAAAAUAAGUUUAAUUAGAAUUACAUACAUAAAAGGCGACGACGACGCCUGCUGCGUAGUCCGAUGGUAGCUUGAUUUUGGCGCUGAACAACCCGUACUUGUACACCUCUGCGGAUUUGAAUCCCGACCCUGCACACCCAAUUAUUUUAUACAAGGGAUCAACAAUAAUUGUGCUUCAUCACAUAUAUAUGUAUGUAUAGAUUCAUAAUCAUAUAUAUAUACCUGUGUAUUGAUUGAGAUGAAGUUGAAGGGAUCGAUCGUCGAGAGAAGGGAUGAUAUUUGGAUGACCAAAAAGAGGGGUGAAGCCUUUGGAGAAGGGGGUUGUGUUCAACGCACAACCUACGUCCACGAGAAGAAGAAGAAGAAGAUAGAUUGAUGAGAGAGAAUAUUGGAUGAGCU